AAGUUUAAGAAUUAGGUAAGUCGAAAGUGCAAGGAAAACAGUUUAUACAUAAUCAUAUGACUAACCAAGAUCGAACACACGUCUGUAAUCCUUGAUGUAACCAAGUAUUUUUUGAUCAAAAUCAAAUCCUGGAUUCCAGAUUAGAGAACCAUAUCCAAAAACCCAGAGCACCAUAGUUGCUAGUUCCUUCCUACCUAAGGAGAAGAGCAGACACACAGAUCCAGCCUCUGGGUUGGAUAAUGUUUCUGGAUUCUCCUCCUCACUGGUAUCAGUCUUUGAGAUGAGAAGGUGAUGCAUUCAUUCUAUAUAUUACUAAUUAUCACUUUUAAAUUCCAAUAUUACUAAUUAUCCAUGAAAUAAUAGUAAACACAAUAUUUUAUUGAAUAAACUUGAAAUUGUUUGUUUUCAAAUUUAUUUAUGCAUACCCAAUGUUAAGUAAUCCAAGAAUUUCUCGUAGUUUUAAUGUUUAUUGUAUCGAUCCAGUGAAAUUAUUUUUAGAUAAAUCCCUAUGAAUUAAUAUGAAUAAUCAAAAUUUUAAUUAAAAAUUAGAAUUUUUUUUAUAGUUAUGUCAAAUUAAAUAAUUGAACAGUGUUUAUGAAGUUAUUUACAGUUACCACUAUUCUUAUAAUUUAUUUGGCUAGAAUUUUUUUAAGUCAAAGUUGAUUAGAAUUUCAUUGAAGUUUCUGGUCAUGGUGACCAGCUCAAGGUAUGUGAAUUCUUUAUUAGAUGUAUGGAUUCCACCGUGCGGACUCCAAUUUUCCGAACGGCCGGCGCGUUCCAUAUUCAGCCUUACAUUUGAGUUCUAGUAACCACUGGGUUCCCUUUAGCAUAUUCCUCCUUGGCCUGGUCCUGUAGGAACAGCUGAUGUUACUUAAGCAAGCAAUGCCACACAUUGAACAGUAGUGAAGGAAAAUAAAAGAAAGUAUUGCUUACUGUGUAAAAAUCAACAUAAGUUCCAAGAUCAUAUUCACAUUCCCUCGUCCUCAGAACAUGUAAAAUUAAGAAAAACAACAAUUAAGUGUGAUUCAUAUAUUCAUAAAUUGAUUGAUUCAUCCAUAAGCUAACCUCCAUUGCCAUUCUUUCCUUUUCCAGUCCUCCUCUUACACAAUAUGCAAUACCCCACUGCACAGAAUAGUUUGUAUUUUCAUUGCUAAUAUUGAUUAUGUAACUAGAGCUUUACUACUACUUACACAUAAGGCCCCUUUUUUGGAUUCCACAGUCUAGGUUCUUGCAAGAUGCUCUGGUGUUCCUCUGUGAUCAAUAUCAUGAUCAGGAUGAUAGUUCAUAUCAUGAAAUAAUUCAAAAUCUGAACCAUGGAGUUCAGGAAAAUUCAGAUGCUCCCCUAGACAUUGUUUAUAACUAUUCAGAUAUGAAUAUGAAGGAAAUACCUACAAAUUAUAAUUCAGCCCAUUCUGAAUCUAUAAAUUCCAAAAUAGCUCAAAAAGAGGCUAUUUUAAGUCAUGAACAAACUCACACAUCUAACCAGCCAGACAGAAACAUGAAGGAAAUACCUUCAAAAGCUAAUUCAGACCAUUCUGAAUUCAUAAACCAUAAAACAGCUAUAAAAAAUCUUAGAAACCAGGUCCAGUUACCUUAUGAAGCAUAAUUUUAGUUGUCAUAUUCAGAAGAAAAAAAUAGAAAAAUUAGGACAAAAAAACAAAGAGAAAGAGGAAACCACAACGAUUAUUAUAUCUAUAGGUCUGAAAACAGAAAACAGAAUUCAGUAGAUGUAAAUUAGAAUCCAGUAACCCUAUAAAGCAUAAUCCAGUAACCCUACAAAAGGAUAUGUGAUAUUAGAUAUAGAAAUAAAAAAAUUUCAUAUUUUUCUAGAAAUGUGAUUUUUAGGGAAGGCAUUUUCCCAUUUAAAGAAGGUGUUUUUGAAAAUAACUCAUCCUAAACACAAUAUUCAAAACUAUAUGAGGAAAUAUACAAUAGAAUCAUACAUGAAUACUAUAAUUCCAAAACCAGAAAUAAAACUAUAAAAGAAACUGAAAAUGACAUCUCCUCACAUACAAAAUCAGAAUCUCAAAUAUUUGAAAAAACAGAGAAAUUGAGUUCAGAAAAUAAAGGUUCAGUUAUACCUGACCAAAAUAAAGAGAGGAGAAUGGCAUCUUCAGACUAUAAAGGAAGAUUAAAUUUCCAAAAUAAAAAAAGAAAUUAGUCAAUCCAAACUCAAUUUCCAAAAAAUAACCUAAAACAAAACAAAACAUAUGAGGAUUCAUUAGAAACCAAUAAAAAUAGGCAAUCUAAUGAAAUUCCACAUAUAAAUGCUCAAAUAAAAUCAGAAAGAUGAUAGUUCACAUCAUGAAAUAAUUCAAAAUCUGAACCAUGGAGUUCAGGAAAAGUCAGAUGCUCCCCUGUACAUUGUUUAUAACUAUUCAGAUAGGAAUAUGAAGGAAAUACCUUCAAAUUAUAAUUCAGACCAUUCUGAAUCUAUAAAUUCCAAAAUAGCUCAAAAAGAGGCUAUUUUAGGUCAUGAACAAACUCACACAUCUAAACAUAAAAUCCAAGGGAUUAUUAGGGAAGGCAUUUUCCCAUUUAAAGAAGGUGUUACAUGCUGCAAGUUUAAGAAAUAGGUAAGUUGAAACUACAAGGAAAACAGUUUAUACAUAAUCAUAUGACUAACCAAGAUCGACACACGUCUUUGAUCCUUGAUGUAACCAAGUAUUUUUUGAUCAAAAUCAAAUCCUGGAUUCCAGAUUAGAGAACCAUAUCCAAAAACCUAGAGCACCAUAGUUGCUAGUUCCUUCCUACCUAAGGAGAAGAGCA
rnacentral:lncRNA from 1 species